GCGAGAAAUCGUGACCAGGGAACUCCAAGUGCGUAGGGUAAGACCUACCGCUUUUCGGGACUCUUCAAAGGUCUUGGAAUAAAGGGGUGGGUAAGGACGGUGCCAGCCGCCGCGGUAAUACCGGCGCCUCAAGUGGUAGUCGCUUUUUAUUGGGCCUAAAACGUCCCGUAGCCGGUCUGGGCAUUCGUGGGUAAAUCAACCCGCUCAACGGGUUGAAUUCUGCGAGCACGGCCAGACUUGGGACCGGGAGAGGUGUGGGGUACUCUCAGGGUAGGGGUAAAAUCCUGUCAUCCUGAGAGGACCACCUGUUGCGAAGGCGCCACACUAGAACGGAUCCGACGGUCAGGGACGAAACCUAGGGGCACGAACCGGAUUAGAUACCCGGGUAGUCCUAGGUGUAAACGCUGUGGACUUGAUGUUGGGGGCGCUCCGAGCGCUCUCAGUGUCGAAGCGAAGGUGAUAAGUCCACUGCCUGGGGAGUACGGUCGCAAGGCUGAAACUCAAAUGAAUUGACGGA
rnacentral:rRNA from 1 species